rnacentral:rRNA from 1 species
AGCUCCAAUAGCGUAUAUUAAAGUUGCUGCAGUUAAAAAGCUCGUAGUUGCAUUUCCGAGGCAAGGGAUUAGUCCGACCUUUGGUGGGAAUUUAAUCCUCUUGCCUCGUCCUUGAGAGGUGCUUCUUGGUAUUAAGUUAUCGAGGAGAUAGCCGCUCAUCGUUUACUGUGAGAAAAUUAGAGUGUUCAAAGCAGGCUUAUGCCGUUGAAUAUAUUAGCAUGGAAUAAUAAGAUAGGACCUCGGUACUAUUUUGUUGGUUUGAGAACCAAGGUAAUGAUGAAUAGGGACAGUUGGGGGUAUUCGUAUUCAGUUGUCAGAGGUGAAAUUCUUAGAUUUACGGAAGACGAACUACUGCGAAAGCAUUUACCAAGGAUGUUUUCA